GAGGGUAUAGCUCAGUGGUAGAGCACAUGCUUAGCAUGCACAAGGUCCUGGGUUCAAUCCCCAGUGCCUCCU
rnacentral:tRNA from 1 species